GACGAACGCUGGCGGCGUGCCUAAUACAUGCAAGUCGAGCGAAGUUUUUCUGGUGCUUGCACUAGAAAAACUUAGCGGCGAACGGGUGAGUAACACGUAAAGAACCUGCCUCAUAGACUGGGACAACUAUUGGAAACGAUAGCUAAUACCGGAUAACAGCAUUAACUGCAUGGUUGAUGUUUGAAAGUUGGUUUUGCUAACACUAUGAGAUGGCUUUGCGGUGCAUUAGCUAGUUGGUGGGGUAAAGGCCUACCAGGGCGACGAUGCAUAGCCGACCUGAGAGGGUGAUCGGCCACACUGGGACUGAGACACGGCCCAGACUCCUACGGGAGGCAGCAGUAGGGAAUCUUCCGCAAUGGGCGAAAGCCUGACGGAGCAACGCCGCGUGAGUGAAGAAGGAUUUCGGUUCGUAAAGCUCUGUUGUUAGGGAAGAAUGAUUGUGUAGUAACUAUACACAGUAGAGACGGUACCUAACCAGAAAGCCACGGCUAACUACGUGCCAGCAGCCGCGGUAAUACGUAGGUGGCAAGCGUUGUCCGGAAUUAUUGGGCGUAAAGCGCGCGCAGGUGGUUUAAUAAGUCUGAUGUGAAAGCCCACGGCUCAACCGUGGAGGGUCAUUGGAAACUGUUAAACUUGAGUGCAGGAGAGAAAAGUGGAAUUCCUAGUGUAGCGGUGAAAUGCGUAGAGAUUAGGAGGAACACCAGUGGCGAAGGCGGCUUUUUGGCCUGUAACUGACACUGAGGCGCGAAAGCGUGGGGAGCAAACAGG
rnacentral:rRNA from 1 species